rnacentral:rRNA from 1 species
UACGGGGGGAGCAAGCGUUGUUCGGAUUUACUGGGCGUAAAGGGCGCGUAGGCGGUCGUGACAAGUCACUUGUGAAAUCUCCGGGCUUAACUCGGAACGGUCAAGUGAUACUGUCGGACUAGAGUACAGAAGGGGCAACUGGAAUUCUCGGUGUAGCGGUGAAAUGCGUAGAUAUCGAGAGGAACACCUGCGGCGAAGGCGGGUUGCUGGGCUGAUACUGACGCUGAGGCACGAAGGCCAGGGGAGCAAACGGG